rnacentral:lncRNA from 1 species
GAGAAUAUGACUGUCUUAGUUUGUCAGCUAUAUGGUGAAGAUUUUGAGUUCAGUCUACCUUAACUUCUUUGUAAUUUGUAUAAGAACUACGCCUUGUCAGAAUUGCAGAAGCAAUGUCUUUGAUGGAACUAUUAGACUGUGACCCUGUGCUAUAAAUGACUGGACUUUUACUCGUACUAUGACUGUGAUUCAUUUCUAGUCUAUUUCUCCAUUUUGCUAUUGGAAUUGAACUCCAUGAACCUCAUAAACUACCAUAGAACAUAUAAUUGCAAUUAACUGAUGAUUAAAAUAGCAUGCUCAUUAUCGAUUCCCUACUGCCUGCUAUAUGUUGUUUCAUUGUAGACUAGACGUUUCCCAAUUAGAACUCGUACAAAUUGUCUGUGGUACUUCGUUCUAUGAAUGUCAUUGCUCAGAUCACAUGCCUUCAGCAUUUCGUUUUACCUGAAUAGUUUAUGCUUAUCCAUAACUAUAUCCAAACAAAAACCCCUCACUGCUUGUGCUUGAGUGUGAGGCGUCUCAGUGCUUGUGCUUGGAGAUGCCAGGAUCAUUGAUUCUUCUGCUGGUUGUGGCUCCAAUCUUGUUUGCACACCCCUUGAAGGACAGCUGGGUUGGUGUUUUGAUAUGCCUCGUCAUCGGAUGUUACCUACUACAAUAGCACAUCCGAGCCUCGGGCGGAUUCCGGAAUUCCCUCAAUCAGAGCCAUGGAAUAUUAAACACGGUUGGCAUUAUCCUUCUGUUAGUCUAACCCUGUCUGGUCAUUGCUGCUCCACUUCGUCUAGCCACUCACUCAGUACAAUGCUGAAUUGUUGCUGCUCUUCAAAAAAAAAAAAAAAAAGAAUAAAAAACUUAAAAAUUUUAAUGUUAUGAUGAAGAUUUCAAAUGUUCAUUGUCUGGCAAUGUGUCAAGCUUUCAUCAAAAUCCUGAAACCAUGAAGGACAGAUAUGGACCCAAUCCAAUGGCUCUUCUGGUAAAUUUGUCAAAUAUAGAGGGUAAAGAUUAAAGUAAAAAAAUAAAUCCCUAACCUAAAUCACUUUUCCCUUAUAAAAGAAAGCCAUGAGCUUUUCACCAUUAAAGCUGCCAACUUUAAAAUUCUCAAAAUUUUCAAUCAACGUCUUUCUCAAAUUCCAGGAAGCUACAAAAAAGGGGGUUUCUUUUUUUCUUUCUCUUUUUUCAUAGCUUAAAAGAGAGUUUCUUUGUUUUUAUCAAUGGGGUUUCUCAGUGAUGAUAAAAAAAGAUGACGAGUCAGAUUCUUUUCCAUUCUUUCAAAUCGUGAUGACAAAUCGAGGCAUUUGUCUGAGAGAAAUCCAUCUUUCCUUUUUUUAUUUUUGUAUUUUUAUUCAAAAAGAAAUCAAAAAUCUUUUUCUUUUUGUUCAAUUUGAUUUUGUAAAUUGAAAGGUCGCAAGGCACAAUGAUGAUGAAGAAUUAAUGAAACAGCCUGAUUUAUUGUGAUGAUCAAUCCUACUCAUUCUGAAUCUCUAUGUUUUGAACAAAAAGGAUUUUUAUUUUUAAUAAAAAAGAAAGCAAUGAUGAUGAUGGUUUAGGGUUUAAUGAGGAUUACCUGUGAUUAACCUUUCAACCACUUCUGAGCUGACUGCUUUUCUUUAUUAUCCACAAAAAUUAAGGUUUGAAGCGAUUUCUGUAGGAUUGAAAAUUUCAUUUUUGAGCAGUUAACCUUCAGAUUAAAGAUGAAAAUGCAAA